rnacentral:lncRNA from 1 species
GGAAAAUGGUCUGAGUCGCCACCCACCAUCCUAACCAUAGUCUUAGCUCCAUCGUACAUGUUCUUGAUUACUCUGAUGUAGGCUUCUGGCACGCUCUUUGCGUCCAAGCACCUCCAUAGCACCUCCCUUGGGACCUUGUCAUACGCCUUCUCUAAGUCGAUAAGCACCAUGUGCAUGUCCUUGUUCUUAUCCCUGAACUGCUCCA